rnacentral:rRNA from 1 species
CACUUUGAGAGAGAGUUAAGAGGACGUGAAACCGGUAAGAUGGAAACGGAUAGAGCCAGCGAAGUCGCUCGUAUUCAGCCAAAGACUCGGGGCCGCCUGCUGUCGUGUUUCUAAUCGAGCACGCCGGUUGGUGGGUCCCGUUUUGAGGUGCAUUUGCGGGCGUUUGCGCCGAGACUUGCGGAGCAGCUUCUGGAACCGCGCCUAGAGGCUUCCCUCUGGGUUGUACCUGGACGUGGCUACAGCUGUUUGCUCUGCUCGUACCCGGGCUAGGCCUACGGGGUCUGGUUGCGCCGUCGUUGUCAGGCGAUGGUAUCGCAUGCGAUGCCUAGUCUGGUGGCUGCGGUUCGGCUUGACUCCACUGGCUCGCUCUCGGUGUAGAAGCUGGUCAUCUCUCCGACCCGUCUUGAAACACGGACCAAGGAGUUUAGCGUAUGCGCGAGCCAUUGGGUGUAAAACCCACAGGCACAAUGAAAGUAAAGGUCCAGUCGCUGGACUGACAUGUGAACGCCGCGGCUUCGGCCCUGGUGUGCAGCAUGGUCCCGUUGUAGUCGCUUGCGACGCAGCGGAGACAGAGCGUAUGCGCUGAGACCCGAAAGAUGGUGAACUAUUCCUGAGCAGGACGAAGCCAGAGGAAACUCUGGUGGAAGUCCGAAGCGAUUCUGACGUGCAAAUCGAUCGUCUGACUUGGGUAUAGGGGCGAAAGACUAAUCGAACAUCAGAUGGGGGGCCCCCCCCCCCAAAAAGGAAG